rnacentral:piRNA from 1 species
UGCAUAGUGAAACCAGGUGAGCUUAAUUCA